rnacentral:rRNA from 1 species
UUUAUUGAGAGUUUGAUCUUGGCUCAGGACGAACGCUGGCGGCGUGCCUAAUACAUGCAAGUCGAGCGCGGGAAGCUUGUCUGAUCCCUUCGGGGUGACGCGAGUGGAACGAGCGGCGGACGGGUGAGUAACACGUGGGCAACCUGCCUGUAAGACUGGGAUAACUCCGGGAAACCGGGGCUAAUACCGGAUAAUACAUUGCUUCGCAUGAAGCAAUGUUGAAAGAUGGCUUUUAGCUAUCACUUACAGAUGGGCCCGCGGCGCAUUAGCUAGUUGGUAAGGUAAUGGCUUACCAAGGCAACGAUGCGUAGCCGACCUGAGAGGGUGAUCGGCCACACUGGGACUGAGACACGGCCCAGACUCCUACGGGAGGCAGCAGUAGG